AUUGAACGCUGGCGGCAGGCCUAACACAUGCAAGUCGAGCGGAUGAGAGGAGCUUGCUUCUCGAUUCAGCGGCGGACGGGUGAGUAAUGCCUAGGAAUCUGCCUGGUAGUGGGGGACAACGUUUCGAAAGGAACGCUAAUACCGCAUACGUCCUACGGGAGAAAGCAGGGGACCUUCGGGCCUUGCGCUAUCAGAUGAGCCUAGGUCGGAUUAGCUAGUUGGUGAGGUAAUGGCUCACCAAGGCGACGAGCCGUAACUGGUCUGAGAGGAUGAUCAGUCACACUGGAACUGAGACACGGUCCAGACUCCUACGGGAGGAAGCAGUGGGGAAUAUUGGACAAGGGGCGAAAGCCUGAUCCAGCCAUGCCGCGUGUGUGAAGAAGGUCUUCGGAUUGUAAAGCACUUUAAGUUGGGAGGAAGGGUUGUAGAUUAAUACUCUGCAAUUUUGACGUUACCGACAGAAUAAGCACCGGCUAACUCUGUGCCAGCAGCCGCCGUAAGAC
rnacentral:rRNA from 1 species